AAACACCUUCACUAUAUACAAGCACGACUUGGUUCAUUAACCCCACUGUCAUUUACCAGUGUGCAGCAAUCGCCGAGACGAAGAAGUCCACUCAAAGAUAGCAAAUGUCAGAUGUUUAAUGAUCAGGACCUGGGAUUCUUUGCCAACUCUCUGGGCAUCAUUAUUCUCUUUCUGGUUAUCGGUUAUCAUUUUGUGAUGGCUGAUACCAAGUAUGAAGGCAAUUGAUAAUUUUUUUAAUAUAGCGCUGGAUAUGUAGCUGAAUCCGAUAACUUUUUUAUGGUGUUUAUGUUUUGAAUUUUUGAUGUGUAAUGUACUAAUGCAAGGAUUAAGCUGCUUGAAGCUCCCUCCAGUUAGACCUUGAGAAAUUGCAUGCUGAGAAAAAUUGAAGAUACAUUGAUUAUAUUGCAUAUGCAUGUAUGACAUAUGUUUUUAGGUUUGAUUAUGGUACACAUAGAAUGCCUACAUUCUCACUUGACAUGUUAUCAUUGUUAGGCUUGGGGGUGUGGAAUAAAGCCCCUUGAGGCGUUAAAGCGCCACGUAGACGGUGGGCUUUAAAGCCCCUCACCCUUAUCACCCUUAACACCUAUGGUAUGAAAUAAAGCCCCUUUAGUUGAACAAGUUAUAUUUGAUAAUGUGACAUGUACCAAAGUUUCUUACUCAUUAAAAGAAUCAUGAAAUCAAUGUAUCAGGUAGAAAAGAGCAUUAAAUGGAAAGCAAAAAAGUUAUGUGACAACCACCAAACCAUCAUUAGACC
rnacentral:lncRNA from 1 species